rnacentral:rRNA from 1 species
CUCUUUCAGACGGAAAGAAACGGCACGGCCAACACCCGUGACUAAUGACGGUACCGUCAGAAGAAGCACCGGCUAACUACGUGC